CCUACGGGAGGCAGCAGUGGGGAAUAUUGCACAAUGGGCGCAAGCCUGAUGCAGCAACGCCGCGUGAGGGACGACGGCCCUCGGGUUGUAAACCUCUUUUAGUAGGGAAGAAGCGAAAGUGACGGUACCUGCAGAAAAAGCACCGGCUAACUACGUGCCAGCAGCCGCGGUAAUACGUAGGGUGCAAGCGUUGUCCGGAAUUAUUGGGCGUAAAGAGCUCGUAGGCGGUUUGUCGCGUCUGCUGUGAAAACCCGAGGCUCAACCUCGGGCCUGCAGUGGGUACGGGCAGACUAGAGUGCGGUAGGGGAGAUUGGAAUUCCUGGUGUAGCGGUGGAAUGCGCAGAUAUCAGGAGGAACACCGAUGGCGAAGGCAGAUCUCUGGGCCGUAACUGACGCUGAGGAGCGAAAGCAUGGGGAGCGAACAGGAUUAGAUACCCUGGUGGUCCAUGCCGUAAACGUUGGGAACUAGAUGUAGGGACCAUUCCACGGUUUCUGUGUCGCAGCUAACGCAUUAAGUUCCCCGCUGGGGAGUACGGCCGCAAGGCUAAAACUCAAAUGAAUUGACGG
rnacentral:rRNA from 1 species